rnacentral:rRNA from 1 species
CAAAGAUUAAGCCAUGCAUGUCUCAGUACAAGCCAAAUUAAGGUGAAACCGCGAAAGGCUCAUUAAAUCAGUUAUGGUUCCUUAGAUCGUACCACACAUUUACUUGGAUAACUGUGGUAAUUCUAGAGCUAAUACAUGCAAACAGAGCUCCGACCAGAGAUGGAAGGAGUGCUUUUAUUAGAUCAAAACCAAUCGGCGGCGGUUCCGUUCGCGGUUCCGUUCGUCGCAAUGCUUGGUGAUACUGAAUAACUUUUGGCUGAUCGCACGGUCUUGCACCGGCGACGCAUCUUUCAAAUGUCUGCCUUAUCAACUGUCGAUGGUAGGUUCUGCGCCUACCAUGGUUGUAACGGGUAACGGGGAAUCAGGGUUCGAUUCCGGAGAGGGAGCCUGAGAAACGGCUACCACAUCCAAGGAAGGCAGCAGGCGCGCAAAUUACCCACUCCCGGCACGGGGAGGUAGUGACGAAAAAUAACGAUACGGGACUCAUCCGAGGCCCCGUAAUCGGAAUGAGUACACUUUAAAUCCUUUAACGAGGACCAAUUGGAGGGCAAGUCUGGUGCCAGCAGCCGCGGUAAUUCCAGCUCCAAUAGCGUAUAUUAAAGUUGUUGCGUUUAAAAAGCUCGUAGUUGAAUCUGUGUCCCGUGCUGUCGGUUCACCGCCCGCGGUGUUUAACUGGCACGUUCACGGGACGUCCUGCCGGUGGGUGUGCAUGCACCAUUGCUUCGGCAAUGCUCGUGUCAUGUACACCCGACUAAUAAAUCCUGUCGCGGUGCUCUUAAUUGAGUGUCGAGGCGGGCCGGCACGUUUACUUUGAACAAAUUAGAGUGCUCAAAGCAGGCUAAAAUUUUGCCUGAAUACUGUGUGCAUGGAAUAAUGGAACAGGACCUCGGUUCUAUUUUGUUGGUUUUCGGAACCCCGAGGUAAUGAUUAAUAGGGACAGAUGGGGGCAUUCGUAUUGCGACGUUAGAGGUGAAAUUCUUGGAUCGUCGCAAGACGGACAGAAGCGAAAGCAUUUGCCAAAAAUGUUUUCAUUAAUCAAGAACGAAAGUCAGAGGUUCGAAGGCGAUCAGAUACCGCCCUAGUUCUGACCAUAAACGAUGCCAGCUAGCGAUCCGCCGACGUUCCUCCGAUGACUCGGCGGGCAGCUUCCGGGAAACCAAAGCUUUUGGGUUCCGGGGGAAGUAUGGUUGCAAAGCUGAAACUUAAAGGAAUUGACGGAAGGGCACCACCAGGAGUGGAGCCUGCGGCUUAAUUUGACUCAACACGGGAAACCUCACCAGGCCCAGACACCGGAAGGAUUGACAGAUUGAGAGCUCUUUCUUGAUUCGGUGGGUGGUGGUGCAUGGCCGUUCUUAGUUGGUGGAGCGAUUUGUCUGGUUAAUUCCGAUAACGAACGAGACUCUAGCCUGCUAACUAGGCGUUACUUACCGGUAUCUCGAAGGCUCGCGUCUCUCGUGCACGGAACAUUGUUUUGUGCAGUUACGUUUCGGCGUGCUGUGCGGCAGUGUGGCUGUAGCGGGAGUUCGCGGUUUUUACUACCGGCGUACAAUUAAAUCUUCUUAGAGGGACAGGCGACUUCUAGUCGCACGAGAUUGAGCAAUAACAGGUCUGUGAUGCCCUUAGAUGUUCUGGGCCGCACGCGCGCUACACUGAAGGAAUCAGCGUGUCCUCCCUGGCCGAAUGGUCCGGGUAACCCGCUGAACCUCCUUCGUGCUAGGGAUUGGGGCUUGCAAUUGUUCCCCAUGAACGAGGAAUUCCCAGUAAGCGCGAGUCAUAAGCUCGCGUUGAUUACGUCCCUGCCCUUUGUACACACCGCCCGUCGCUACUACCGAUUGAAUGAUUUAGUGAGGUCUUCGGACUGGUACGCGGCAGCGUUUUAUACAUUGCCGAUGUCGCUGGGAA